rnacentral:rRNA from 1 species
GACGAACCGUGCGAACGUUGUUCGGAUUCACUGGGCUUAAAGGGCGCGUAGGCGGCGACACAAGUCGGGGGUGAAAUCUUUCGGCCCAACCGGAAAAUAGCUUUCGAUACUGUGUUGCUCGAGGGAGGUAGGGGCACGCGGAACUUCCGGUGGAGCGGUGAAAUGCGUAGAUAUCGGAAGGAACGCCGGUGGCGAAAGCGGCGUGCUGGAUCUCCACUGACGCUGAGGCGCGAAAGCCAGGGGAGCAAACGGG